rnacentral:rRNA from 1 species
UACGUAGGUGGCAAGCGUUAUCCGGAAUUAUUGGGCGUAAAGCGCGCGCAGGCGGUUGCAUAAGUCUGAUGUGAAAGCCCCCGGCUCAACCGGGGAGGGUCAUUGGAAACUGUGUAACUUGAGUGCAGAAGAGAAGAGUGGAAUUCCACGUGUAGCGGUGAAAUGCGUAGAGAUGUGGAGGAACACCAGUGGCGAAGGCGACUCUUUGGUCUGUAACUGACGCUGAGGCGCGAAAGCGUGGGGAGCAAACAGG